GACGAACGUUGGCGGCGUGCUUAAUACAUGCAAGUCGAGCGGUAAGGCCCUUUCGGGGGUACACGAGCGGCGAACGGGUGAGUAACACGUGGGUGACCUGCCCUCAGCUCUGGGAUAAGCCUGGGAAACCGGGUCUAAUACCGGAUAUGACUCCAUGACGCAUGUUGUGGGGUGGAAAGCCUUGUGCGGCUGAGGAUGGGCCCGCGGCCUAUCAGCUUGUUGGUGGGGUGAUGGCCACCAAGGCGACGACGGGUAGCCGGCCUGAGAGGGCGACCGGCCACACUGGGACUGAGACACGGCCCAGACUCCUACGGGAGGCAGCAGUGGGGAAUCUUGCGCAAUGGGCGAAAGCCUGACGCAGCGACGCCGCGUGAGGGAUGACGGCCUCGGUUGUAACCGU
rnacentral:rRNA from 1 species